GCAAACUUGGUCAUUUAGAGGAAGUAAAAGUCGUAACAAGGUUUCCGUAGGUGAACCUGCGGAAGGAUCAUUACUGAAUUAACGAAGUGAUUGAGCUGGUCUCUCGGGACAUUGUGCUCGUUGCUUCAAAUUCAUCCUUACCACCUGUGCACUUUCGUAGACUGCAAUACCCCUCAACGAUUCAUUUCGUUGGAUCGAAGGAUUUGCGCUUUAGCUAUCCUUCAAUUUUGCAGUCUAUUAUAUCUCUACAAACAAGUCUUAGAAUGUCCUUUGUGGGUCGAAAGACCUAUAAAAACUUAUACAACUUUCAACAACGGAUCUCUUGGCUCUCGCAUCGAUGAAGAACGCAGC
rnacentral:misc_RNA from 1 species